GUGCAUUGUGUUUAAAUGGUUUUUAUUUUCUUUUAAUACAUCUAUAGGCAUAAUAACUAAAAACAAAAAUGUAGGUUGCUUAUUAAUUGGCUUACUUGUAAGCUCCUUAAGAAGAAGAAAAUGGUUCUAACUGAAAUGAAGAAUUUGAUUAAGAGGCUUUUAGGAUAUGCUCAGAAACUAAUCAGUGGGGUAGUCUGAGAGUAGCACUACUGAUGGGCUGCAGAAUGGCUUAUUAAAGUGGUUCCCGAGAUAGAAAGAGAUUAGUUUCAGUUGCCCCAACCCAAGUGCAACACCUUGUAAUUGACCUUCCUGAACCCCAUUAGGUUCUCCUGGACCUACUUUUUUGCUUUUUUAGAUGACAUUCCUUCCUUCUGUUUUAUCAACUGGACGCCUCAGCUUCUCAUCAGCAAAUUUGCUGAGGGUGCACUCAGUCCCAUUGGUUAGGUUGCUGAUAAAAAGGUUGAAGAGCCCCAGUUUCAAGACAGACCCACUAUGAGACACUUGUGAUAGGCCUCCACCUGCAUGUAUAGCUAUUGACUUUAGCCCUCUGUAGCCCUCUGAACUGUGGCCAUCCAACCAGUUCCUUAUCCUUUAGAGGAAAUGUUCUGUUCAUCCUAGUUAUGCACAGAGAAAGAGGUGUUCUUCCCAUGUGGGAAGGGAAUAGAUGCAGCUGAGCCCUCUAUUCCUUAGGCUCUGCCUGCAUUGUAAGAGCAGUCAGUCUGAGAAACAGCUCCUUUUUAAGCCUUGAAAGAGUCAUUAACAGCAAUGGCAUUGCUGUACAGUCAGUGAUAUCAAAAGGUGUCCUUGGGACUCUUCUGGCACCUUACCUGAGAUUUUGAAAGCAGUUUUUUUGCUAUUGCAAAAAUGAAACCUCAAAAGUAAAGAUUUUGAAGUGCUUUGAAUAUAAGGCAAUGAGAGUUAUUCAUAGUAUUAGUGAAAAUGAAUUCUGUGUGGAAGGCAUAUGACAAACUGCUUUUCCAAGCAGCAAGUCGAAGUAUAUGUGUGUAUUAUGUCUGGCUGUCUGCUUUUCAGUUCCUUUUCGAAUAGGUAAUGAAUAACACUAGGUGGAGCUACCAACUGAAUACUGAAAUAACUUCUUGUGUGAAAACUUGUGAAUGCAUAAGCUAAGAAACCGCAAAUAAUUGCAGGAAGAACAAACUGUCAGUGGAUGACUUCUAGGUUUUAUUAGCAAUACUGUGCAUAAGAAUACAAGUGAGAACACAGAGUACAGGUUUUGUCCACGCUAUUUUGGUUUCUAAAAGCUGGUAAUGUUCUUUUUGUAAACUCUUUUAGCCAGUUAUCGUGGACUUCUCAGUUACUUUUCCCCUCACUGCCAUAGGUAUUAGCUAAGGAGAGGAAAAAUAACUGUCAUAUUCUUAAACAAUAAAAUAAUAAACUGAAUCUCAUCUGUUUGCAGUUGAAGUGAGAAAGACAACUGGAAAAAGAAUUAAUUGAAGCUAAGGUCCAGACCCAGUUUAUCAAGCCCUAAUUAAUCAGCUGAAAUACCUAAACUGAGUCCAGAAAGCUCAAGAAUUAGUAAUUGCUUGUUCACUUCUUUUCUUGAUUUGACGGUCAGCUGUAAUGUAUGAGAGGCAAACCUUAAAUGAGUGACAGUGUGAUCUAAGCUUACUCAUUUUAAGCCAUUGCAUCUUCAUUCUUUCCUGUUCAUCAGGAUUCAGUGUCUUACCCUUACACUUUGUUUUUUCAGCUUUCGUUGUAGGGAGUCUUCCUGUCCUGUUAUCUUUUCUGUUGUAUCCUAUCUGCCAUUACUCUCCUCAGGUUAGAACUUCGAGUAUUACUGCUGUGUGUUCCAUGUAUUCUUCCUCUCUGUACAUUAGUGUUAUACAUUCCUACAUUACUUCCUUCGGUGAGAUCUUUUAUUCAUUCUUAGGUAAGUUGUCUGAUGUGAACAACUUGUGUCUUGCCUUUCGUUAUGAGCUCCAUCGUGUUUUUGAUCACUGAACUGUUUGAUCAUUUGUACAUCUGUGUUACCUGUGGUUAUAGGAACUAGCAGUAUGCAUUCACACUUGAGUAUUUGAAAUGUUCCUCUGCAGGUAUCCAGUUUCUCCAAAGCAACUUUCUAGGCUGAGAUAAUUCAAACACCAGCAGUUUUCCUUACUGUUUUAAUUUAACCAGAUAUUGGAAAUAUCUGGUUCUGGAUUUUGGUGGUAGACCACCUCAUACUUGAAAGGGAAAUAUCUGAGGAGAUCUUUCUUUCAGGGAAAGAACCACCAGGCUGGAUGUGGCUGUGGGCGGCCUGGUUUAGUAGUUGGCAACCCUGCACAUCGCAGGGGGGUUGAAACUAGAUGGUCAACCAUGGUCCUUUUCAACACAGGCCAUUCUAUGGUUCUCUGAUAAUUUGAUGUCUAAUUUACUGACUUUUGCAACUGUAGAGGUAUUUAUGUAGUUCAUCAGUGUUGUGCAGGUUGGUUUAUUUAUUUUUUUAUUUCCUUGAGACAGGUGGGAUGGAUGGCUUCUGAUCUUCACAACAUCAUUCUGUGGGCCAUAUGUACAGUUCAGUGCCUGAACAUUUCGUAUGUUUUUUACUUCAGUUCAUGUGCUUUG